AUUGAACGCUGGCGGAAUGCUUUACACAUGCAAGUCGAGCGGCAGCGCGGCCUUCGGGCUGGCGGCGAGCGGCGAACGGGUGAGUAAUGCAUCGGAACAUGCCCAGUCGUGGGGGAUAACACUUCGAAAGAAGUGCUAAUACCGCAUACGUCCUGAGGGGGAAAGCGGGGGAUCGCAAGACCUCGCGCGAUUGGAGUGGCCGAUGUCAGAUUAGCUAGUUGGUGGGGUAAAGGCCUACCAAGGCGACGAUCUGUAGCUGGUCUGAGAGGAUGAUCAGCCACACUGGGACUGAGACACGGCCCAGACUCCUACGGGAGGCAGCAGUGGGGAAUUUUGGACAAUGGGGGCAACCCUGAUCCAGCCAUUCCGCGUGAGUGAAGAAGGCCUUCGGGUUGUAAAGCUCUUUCGGCAGGAACGAAACGGUGGGCUCUAACAUAGUCCGCUAAUGACGGUACCUAAAGAAGAAGCACCGGCUAACUACGUG
rnacentral:rRNA from 1 species